UCAUUGUGCAUGUCCUGGGAAGGUGGGGGACAGGGAAAUAGGGAGGGAUGCAUGUUCUAGUUGGCCCUCCUACCCCAUUUUCUGUGGCCUCACGUCUCAGUGCUCACAAAAAUGAUGUGACCUUCACCCCCAAAAGCUUAGGGUGCCUGCCUAUGUUGUUUGUUUGUUUUUUUUAUAGCAAAGAGUAACAAAAAAGUUACGAUUAUUUGUGCAGUAAACUUUUCUAUAUUGAGAGGUGGGAGAAUGGACUUCUGGUGUUAAAAGACAUUCAACUAAAUAAGGCAUAGUGACACACGCCUGUAAUCUCAGCACUCAGGGGACAGAGGACAAGCUAAAGCAGGAGAGGAGGAUCAGAAGAGUUUAAUGUCAACCUGGGCUAAAUGAUGAGAAACUGUCUCAAAAAUCAAACAAACAAGCAAAUAAACAACAACAAAAACAAAACCACAAAGAUAAGCAGGCAAGGUUAUUCAGGCCUAGCAUCUUCUGGAGGAGGAUUAUGGUUUAAGACUACGAGCCCGGGCAAAAAGUUCUUGAGAUCCCAACUCAAUCAAGUUUUAAAAAAAAAUGAAUAUGGUAGCAUAUUCUAUCAUCUCAGUUAUUUGGGAAGCAUACAUAGGAAGAUAAUUAAACUGACAUGUUGAACUGAAACUCCUUUGAACGACUAAAGGAUAAUUUAAGUAGCCAGAUAAAUAGAUAGAUAGACGGACAGAAAUAUGAAGUAAAAAGGGCUCAGAGCAUGGCUCAAGAGUAGAGCACCUGCCUAGUAAAUACAAGGACAUGAGUUGGGAAAAAGGAUGUAAAGUAAAAGAAUAAGCCUUAAAGGCUAAAGAUGAAGAAUGAUGACAACAAGACUUUGGGAGCCCAGUAAGGAGAAAUAGGCAGUGGUGAACAUGCUGUUUUACUAAAUGGAGAAGCAAAGCCAGAAAAGCUGAGCAAAUCCCAGGUGAAGAAACAGGACUCACAGACAUGAAGAGCAUUCCAGUCCAUCUAGGGAGUGAGGAAGGCAAGUCACUGAAGAGGCCUUAUCCUACCAUCCAGGAGAUUCAGCUCCAAAGUCACAGGGCUUUCCCGCAACCCACUUUCACCAUGGGCCCUUCUGGAAGCUCCCUUAGCACAGAGUGAAUGACACUUUCUAACACCUGCCAUGUUUUAUGGGAGGCCUAUCCUCCCCCAGCAUGGAACAUUCCUAGAGAAUAAAGGGUACAUCUUAUUCCUUAUAUUCCAAGAUUAAAGUGAGGAUUCAGUAAGGUACAUUGGAUAGAAGGAUGGGCAAUGUCAGCUGCUUAUAAGAAAAUACACCUUCUCAGUAUGGAUAGAUGAUAAACAAGUCUUUAUCCAGACACUCUGCCUAUCCGCAGAGAUCUGGUGCCUU